UACGAAGGGGGGCUAGCGUUGUUCGGAUUUACUGGGCGUAAAGCGCACGUAGGCGGAUCGUUAAGUUAGGGGUGAAAUCCCAGGGCUCAACCCCUGGAACUGCCUUUAAUACUGGCGAUCUAGAGUCCGGAAGAGGUGAGUGGAACUCCUAGUGUAGAGGUGGAAUUCGUAGAUAUUAGGAAGAACACCAGUGGCGAAGGCGGCUCACUGGUCCGGUACUGACGCUGAGGUGCGAAAGCGUGGGGAGCAAACAGG
rnacentral:rRNA from 1 species